AGUAGGGGUUCAAAGUUGGCAACAGUAGCAGGACAUCCUUAAAGUUAGCCAUGAAACACCACAUGAUUAUCACAGGCUUUUGUUUGACAUUUAUGAUCACAAGACUUUCAGGUGCUUCACUCAGUGACGAAGUCCAUCAGACUCCAUCUGACUUGUACAAAAAACAGGAGCAAACAGCAGAAAUCGAUUGCUUGCACAAUAUCAACAACUACGAUCGGAUCCUGUGGUACAAACAGACAGCGGACAGGCGGAUGGAGUUUCUAGGAUACAUGUUAGCAACCAUCGGCUACCCGGAGGAAGGAGCGAAAGUAAAGAUCGAGGGGAAUGCCAACAAGGGCCAGACCUGCACGCUGACGAUAGACAGGCUCGACAUGAACAGCAGUGCAGUUUACUUCUGCGCUGCCAGUUACCACAGUGCAACAUGCAAAAAGUCCUCAGCACAAAAACCUCUAGCUUUUGUUUACCCGUCUCUCAGGUCCAUGCACCUGUCUGAUAUCAACCUGUUUAUCGAGGUUUGGAUCUUUCUGUUGAGGCACUGAGGUACAUGAGGGAGGUGAACACAUGCUGCGGUUUGAAUUUUUGGUAGAGGAGGAACCUCGUAGACACCACCCACGUGUUGAGAGAGGAAGAAAUAGCUCGAAGGGACAUUUGGAGACUUUUAUAGUCAUAAAGGAACAAAAUGAUCGCGGUUCUUUUUUGUAUUACUUUGAGCGCAGCAGCGUCAGGUUCACUUCAUGAGAAAGUCCACCAGAAUCCGCCUGACAUUCACAAGAGUCCCGGAGAAUCUGCCAAAAUCAGCUGCUCGCACAAAAUCGACAACUACGAUGAAAUUCGUUGGUACAAGCAAACAUCCAACGGCGGACAGCUGGAGUUCCUCGGACGGGUGGAGAACAGCUUCAAGUACCCGGAGACAGACGUGAAUGUGACUUUGGAGGGAAGUGCAGAUAAAGGCCAGACCUGCACCAUAACAAUCGAAGGACUCACCUCCAGGAGCAACGCGGUUUACUUCUGCGCUGCUCGCUACCACAGUGCUGAAAGUUAUUAUUCCUCAACACAAAAACCUCAGCGUUUCCGCUUUGUAUUAUUUAUAUCCAGCCAUUAGGUGGCGGCAUUUCUCCAGAUCCAGUGUGGUGACAUUGUGGGAAGUAACUUACGAAGAGGAGGCUGACCUGUGACAUCACAUGCCUGAUGAGGGUAUAUAAUGUGUUUGGUAUUGUAGGAGUGAAUCCUUACAGAUGUGAUGUAAGGGGAAACAGUGAAUUAUAUCAGUAGCAUUGCAGUUUUUUAUUAACCAAAUGUUUUGGGAUCAAGAAAUGCUCCUCAUCCUUUUUAUUUGCUUUAGUUGGAAACCGUUGCUGGUUUCAGGUUCCACUCUAAGUGACAAAGUCCAACAAUCUCCACCAGAUAUCUACAAAUCUUCAGAAAAGGAAGCUAAAAUUGAGUGUUUGCACAAUA